rnacentral:pre_miRNA from 1 species
AGCCCAAUUGCUGGUUUGUAUGCUAAAAGUACAUUUAGUUUUAUAAGAAACUGCCAAAUGACCUUCUAAAGUGGCUAGACCAUUUUGUAUUUCCACCAGCAAU